CGGACGGGUGAGUAACGCGUGAGAAUCUAUCUUCAGGACGGGGACAACAGCUGGUAAACGACUGCUAAUACCCGAUGUGCCGCGAGGUGAAACCUAAUUGGCCUGAAGAAGAGCUUGCGUCUGAUUAGCUAGUUGGUGGGGUAAGAGCCUACCAAGGCGACGAUCAGUAGCUGGUCUGAGAGGAUGAGCAGCCUCACUGGGACUGAGACACGGCCCAGACUCCUACGGGAGGCAGCAGUGGGGAAUUUUCCGCAAUGGGCGAAAGCCUGACGGAGCAACGCCGCGUGAGGGAGGAAGGUCUUUGGAUUGUAAACCUCUUUUCUCAAGGAAGAAGUUCUGACGGUACUUGAGGAAUCAGCCUCGGCUAAUUCCGUGCCAGCAGCCGCGGUAAUACGGGGGAGGCAAGCGUUAUCCGGAAUUAUUGGGCGUAAAGCGUCCGCAGGUGGUCAGCCAAGUCUGCUGUCAAAUCAGGUUGCUUAACGACCUAAAGGCGGUGGAAACUGGCAGACUAGAGAGCAGUAGGGGUAGCAGGAAUUCCCAGUGUAGCGGUGAAAUGCGUAGAGAUUGGGAAGAACAUCGGUGGCGAAAGCGUGCUACUGGGCUGUAUCUGACACUCAGGGACGAAAGCUAGGGGAGCGAAAGGGAUUAGAUACCCCUGUAGUC
rnacentral:rRNA from 1 species